GAGCAUGUAGGCAUGUAGGGCACCAUUCUAUGUGUUGAACACUAAUGAGUGUAUGGUGUUAACCGAGUCUUGGUAUAUUGAUAUGAGUACUGUUUAUUAUUCCUUUAUGAACUUGCUGAGUCUUUGUACCCAUCCUUGUUGCUUAUAUGUUUUAGGUAAAUCCUGAGGACGACAUGCAUGGGAGUCUUGGGUGUAGCAUCCUCCUCGCCGCACGGGCCUCCUCCUCGCUGCAUGGGCCUCCUCCUUGCCGGAGUGACGCCCCUCGCCAGAGCAGCGCCGGCCAAGCCCAUCGGCCACCAGUGUUUUUGUUAUGCAAGUUUGAAGAAAAGAAAAAGAUCCAAAGAAGAUCUUAGUAAUAAGAUAGUUUUGACUUUGUGAAACUUGCUACCUAUGGAUGAAACUGUGUAAUAUUGAUGAAACUAUGUAUAUGUAUGGAUGAAACUUGCUACUAUUGGUAAUAUGUGUUGGAUA